rnacentral:rRNA from 1 species
AAAAGAAACUAACAAGGAUUCCCUUAGUAACGGCGAGCGAAAAGGGAUAAGCCCAGCGCUGAAUCUUACGUCCCACGGGCGUAAUGACAUGUAGCGUUUGGGACGAAACAUUGCUUGUACUAAAUUGAUCAUCUAAGUCCUUCUUGAACGGGGCCAUAGCCCAUGGAGGGUGCUAGGCCCGUAUGAUGAUUAUUGUUGUACGAUGCGUUUCGUCCGUAGAGUCGGGUUGCUUGGGAGUGCAGCCCAAAUCAGGUGGUAAACUCCAUCUAAGGCUAAAUAUGACCACGAGACCGAUAGCGAACAAGUACCGUGAGGGAAAGUUGAAAAGAACUUUGAAGAGAGAGUUCAAUAGUACGUGAAACCUCUCGGGGGUAAGCGGGCAGAACUUGCAAGUAUUGGCAAGAGAUUCAGACUUGAGUUUAGUAGUUGAGUACUUUUGUUAAGUUGUUCAUUCGUGAACUGACUGAUGUAUGUACUUUAUUCUAUUAAAAAUGUGUCGCACUUCUCUUUGUCAUCCGGGUUGCAUGCAACUGAUUUUUGGUAGUUUAGGUUUUGAGAAUCUGUGAGUCUUUCAUUCGUGUUUGAUUCAAGUCUUAAAUUUCCAACUAUUAAUGCGGUUGUAAGAAAAUAGCGAACAAGCGUUUGACGCGGUCAAUAAUUUUUACGAGUCGUGUAUGUACUGUAUAUGGACGAGUAAUCGUAAUAUUUUGUAUGUACUGGUUGUCAGUUAAAGUUAUUUUGGCAUUGUUCAGUAUUGCAAUCUAAAGCAUGCGUGGUCUGCCUGUCCCGUCUUGAAACACGGACCAAGGAGUCUAACAUGUAUGCGAGUCAUUGGGAUGUACUAAACCCAAAGGCAUAAUGAAAGUAAAGAUCCAAUUUUAUGGAUAUGAGGAGAGAUCAUGGCUUUAAGUUUUUGAUAUUCCGUAAGGUUUAUUGAAUAAAGUAUGCGCAUCUCCUGGAUGUCUUAACCUCUGAAGGUAGGGCAUACCUAGAGCAUACACGUUGGGACCCGAAAGAUGGUGAACUAUGCCUGGUCAGAACGAAGUCAGGGGAAACCCUGAUGGAGGUUCGUAGCGAUUCUGACGUGCAAAUCGAUCGUCGGAACUGGGUAUAGGGGCGAAAGACUAAUCGAACCAUCUAGUAGCUGGUUCCCUCCGAAGUUUCCCUCAGGAUAGCUGGCGCUUAUACCAGUCUCAUCCGGUAAAGCGAAUGAUUAGAGGCCUUGGGGCCGAAACGACCUCAACCUAUUCUCAAACUUUAAAUGGGUGAGAAGUUAGGCUUGCUUGAAUUGAAGUUCUAACAAUGGAUGGUGAGUGCCAAGUGGGCCACUCUUGGUAAGCAGGACUGGCGCUGUGGGAUGAACCAAACGUUGAGUUAAGGCGCCCGAAUCGACGCUCAUGAGAUCCCAUAAAAGGCG